rnacentral:rRNA from 1 species
GACAGAGGGUGCAAACGUUGUUCGGAAUUACUGGGCGUAAAGCGAGUGUAGGCGGUGUGGUAAGUCGGAUGUGAAAGCCCCGGGCUCAACCCGGGAAGUGCAUUCGAUACUGCCACGCUAGAGUAUCGGAGAGGUUGGUGGAAUUCUCGGUGUAGAGGUGAAAUUCGUAGAUAUCGAGAGGAACACCGGUGGCGAAGGCGGCCAACUGGACGAAUACUGACGCUGAGACUCGAAAGCGUGGGGAGCAAACAGG